rnacentral:rRNA from 1 species
GACGUAGGGGGCAAGCGUUGUCCGGAUUUAUUGGGCGUAAAGAGCUCGUAGGUGGUUUGUCGCGUUGUUCGUGAAAUCUCACGGCUUAACUGUGAGCGUGCGGGCGAUACGGGCAGACUAGAGUACUGCAGGGGAGACUGGAAUUCCUGGUGUAGCGGUGGAAUGCGCAGAGAUCAGGAGGAACACCGGUGGCGAAGGCGGGUCUCUGGGCAGUAACUGACGCUGAGGAGCGAAAGAGUGGGGAGCGAACAGG